GGUUAAGCGACUAAGCGUACACGGUGGAUGCCCUGGCAGGUCAGAGGCGAUGAAGGACGUGCUAAUCUGCGAUAAGCGUCGGUAAGGUGAUAUGAACCGUUAUAACCGGCGAUUUCCGAAUGGGGAAACCCAGUGUGUUUCGACACACUAUCAUUAACUGAAUCCAUAGGUUAAUGAGGCGAACCGGGGGAACUGAAACAUCUAAGUACCCCGAGGAAAAGAAAUCAACCGAGAUUCCCCCAGUAGCGGCGAGCGAACGGGGAGGAGCCCAGAGCCUGAAUCAGUGUGUGUGUUAGUGGAAGCGUCUGGAAAGGCGCGCGAUACAGGGUGACAGCCCCGUACACAAAAAUGCACAUGCUGUGAGCUCGAUGAGUAGGGCGGGACACGUGGUAUCCUGUCUGAAUAUGGGGGGACCAUCCUCCAAGGCUAAAUACUCCUGACUGACCGAUAGUGAACCAGUACCGUGAGGGAAAGGCGAAAAGAACCCCGGCGAGGGG
rnacentral:rRNA from 1 species